AUAAACAAGGAAAAUAGAAAAUCUCCCAAAUCAAAGUUAGCAGCCUUAAUUAUAAAUGUUUA
rnacentral:tRNA from 1 species